rnacentral:rRNA from 1 species
GAGAAGCCUUAUGAGAAACGGCUACCACUUCUAAGGAAGGCAGCAGGCGCGCAAAUUACCCAAUCCUGACUCAGGGAGGUAAUGACAAGAAAUAACAAUAAACCGGCUUAUGCCGGUUUAAUUGGAAUGAGUACAAUUUAAACAUCUUAACGAGGAACAAUUGGAGGGCAAGUCUGGUGCCAGCAGCCGCGGUAAUUCCAGCUCCAAUAGCGUAUACUAAAGUUGUUGCAGUUAAAAAGCUCGUAGUUGGAUUUCUGCGGGGACGGAGCGGCCGGACGCAACUUGCGUCUCGAGCUAGCGCUUUCCCCACAUCCUGCCGCGAACCGUGCUACCAUUAGUUUGGUGGCGCUGGGAAUCGGCUCGAUUACUUUGAGAAAAAUAAAGUGUUCAAAGCAGGCCACACGCCUUGAAUAAGUUAGCAUGGAAUAAUGACUAAGGACUUUGGUUCUUUUCGUUGGUGCUCGGGACUGAAGCAAUGAUUGAUAGGGACAGUUGGGGCGGUCCGUAUUCCAAAGCGAGAGGUGAAAUUCUUAGACCUUCGGAAGACGAACAGCUGCGAAAGCGUUCCGCAAGGAUGUUCCCUUUGAUCAAGAACGAAAGUUGGGGGGUCGAAGACGAUCAGAUACCGUCGUAGUCUCAACUAUAAACUAUACCAGCUAGGGAUCGGCCAACGUUUAAUUAUUCGACUUGGUCAGCACCUUAUGAGAAAUCAAAGCAUCUGGGUUCCGGGGGGAGUAUGGUCGCAAGGCUGAAACUUAAAGGAAUUGGCGGAAGGGCACCACCAGGCGUGGAGCCUGUGGCUUAAUUUGACUCAACACGGGAAAACUUACCAGGUCCAGACAUAGGAAGGAUUGACAGAUUGAUAGCUCUUUCUUGAUUCUGUGGGUGGUGGUGCAUGGCCGUUUUUAGUCGGUGAAGUGAUUUGUCUGCUUAAUUGCGUUAACGGACGAGACCCCAGCCUGCUAAAUAGCGCGGCUGAGCUUUGCUCGGUACGAGCUUCUUAGAGGGACCAUGAUGCGCGAUAGCACAAGGAAGUUUGGGGCAACAACAGGUCUGUGAUGCCCUUAGAUGUUCUGGGCCGCACACGGGCUACACUGGCGCCUGCAACGAGCAUAUCAGCUGGCCCGAGAGGGUCUUGGCUAAUCUUUGGAACCGGCGCCGUGCUUGGGAUUGACCAUUGCAAUUGUUGGCCAUGCAACGAGGAAUGCCUUGUAGACGCGAGUCAUCAGCUCGCAUUGAAUACGUCCCUGCCCUUUGUACACACCGCCCGUCGCUCCUACCGAUGAAUGUUCCGAUGAAAUUUUCGGAGAGCGCCAGAGAACGGGGCUCUGCCUUGCAGAUCUGGAGGCUCAAGGUCACUUAAAUCUGAACAUUUCGAGGAAGGAGAAGUCGUAACAAGGUAACC